GACGAACGCUGGCGGCGUGCUUAACACAUGCAAGUCGAACGGAAAGGCCCUGCUUGUGUGGGGUGCUCGAGUGGCGAACGGGUGAGUAACACGUGUGUAACCUGCCCGUGACUUUGGGAUAACUUCAGGAAACUGGGGCUAAUACCGGAUAGGAGCUCCUGCUGCAUGGUGGGGUUUGGAAAGUUUCGGCGGUUGGGGAUGGACUCGCGGCUUAUCAGCUUGUUGGUGGGGUAGUGGCUUACCAAGGCUUUGACGGGUAGCCGGCCUGAGAGGGUGACCGGCCACAUGGGGACUGAGAUAGGGCCAGGACUCCUACGGGAGGAAGCAGUGGGGAAUAUUGCCAAAUGGGGGGAGGCCUGAUGCAGCAACGCGGCGUGCGGGAUGACGGCCUCCGGGCUGUAAACCGCUUUCGCCUGUGCCGAAGCGUGAGUGACGGUAAUGGGUAAAGAAGCACCGGCUAACUACGUG
rnacentral:rRNA from 1 species